GUUUUGCUUGAUUUUGUAUUUCAAUUUAGGGUUUGGAAGGAUCAAUUCUGUAGUUGCAGGAGCAGCAUACCGGAGACGGCGGAGAGUCGACUUCUAGCUUUCGUUGAUUCCCGAAAUUGUAGCAGAAGUAUUUUGUUUCCAUGUCUCAGAGGUUUAGCUUAUAAUGCUAUUAUUGUUUGAUUUUCGUCGAAAUGUAUUGUUCCAUUUCAUUUAUUUUUUUCCCCGAUCGGUGUUCGUUUUUAGUUAUUUUGCUGGCGAAACAACUUUGAAAAUGUUGAAUACAGCAAUAGGCUAAAUGCAUAAUUGAAGUCACGGACAAUUUUUUUUCAGAUUGAAGUCCACUUAGAGCUAAAUGCAUGUUGAAGUUUCAAAUAGCUGACCCAAAAUUUCUCUGUUGAGAUGUAAUUGUUGUUGUUGUUAUCGGUUUUAAUCAAUUGUUUGUUACUCAUUUUUUCCUUUUCAACGGGGGAUUAAUACUCUGGGUAUAUAAAUUAUAUGAUCGUACUGGUUCAGACUUCAGAGUUAUUACAAAAUCUAAUGUACCUCUACCUCCUUGAAUUGCCUUUAUCUACUCGUAUUAACAUAAAGUAUAUUGUUGAAUUUUCUUUGGCAAUCUGCCUACAACGAUUUUUAACCAUUUAUAUGCAAAGCAGUAGUAUCUUGUUAAUAAGAGCAAGUGCUGAUCUGUCGCUAAUAUAGAUAGAGUGUACAUUCCAUUCAUGAUUUGAAGCUGCACGAUAGUGCUGGUUUCUACUUAGGCAGUGACAUUGUUAUCCUUUACAUUGGCAUUGCUGCUUUGCAAAUUAUAUUGCUAUAGAAAUACAUAUGGCCCAACUAUAUUGCUCUAUGAUUUGCUACAGAGCAUGAACAUCCAUCCGUGCUUGAGCAUUUGCAGUUAUUGGUGCUGGAGUCUUUGGGCUCCGUAGCUUUGCAACCAUUGCUUAUUCUGAUGAGCAUGAAGAAGGUCCAGUUAUCCAUGGCCUCAUGAAGGUAUUCUCAGUUUUUAUGACCAUGUUUCCGUAGUUAUUGUGUGCUACAAUGUGAUAAUGCUUGUUGGUUGUUAACUUCAAUUUUUAUUUAUUGAGAUUCAGUUGAGCUAGUUCUUCAGCAUUAUUUUCCACAGACCAAUUUAUUUGCAUAAAACUAAAUCAGUAAUUAUGCAUACUGCUUAAUCUUUUUCAAUCAAUCCAUAGAAGAAAUAUCAAGCUUUUGUUUUUAAGUUAAAUGGACCUCCGUAAGUGUAAUAGGAUUCGUCAAGGUCACCAAGAGUGUUUAUCUUGCCACUCGAUGUCACUAAUUUCUAUUUUGAUCUUGUUGGAAUGACAUACAUAGAGGAAUUGAGGAAGAAACUAAAGCCAUGGAGGCAGAAAUUGAGGUGGUCGAUGAGCCUAAUGAUGAAGGUUAGAUGUUCACUCGGCCAGAAAACUGAAUGAUCAACUUCCACAGCUUUAUGCUAACAAAGCAGCUGCCGGCUUUGAUAAUGGAUGAUCCUAUCCUCCUGAGUCCUGAUCUAUGUCUUAUGACUACGGUAAUCUUUUAAAAGAAGUCCUUCAAUUUCCCUCUCAGUGAAUGGUUGGACCACAGCAAGUGAGUUUCAGUUUCAGAUGACUGAACAAAUCAAUAAGAAAAGAAUUUGGAUUAAAUUGUAUUAUCAUAUAAGAUGCUCAGACUAGAAUAGCAAUUUAGAAUGGAUAGAGAGUAAAGAAAACUCUGUGCGCUCCUAGCUUAAUUUUUAACAGUGCAUUGAUAAGUAUGUGUGGCAAUGAUUUGUUUAGAUUUAUCUCCUCUCGGAGUGUAUGAUAGAGUUUGGAUUACCUAUAUAUCAAAAAAAUAAAGAAGAUAAAGAGUUUUUUUUUGUGAAAGAAAAGAAGAUAAGAGUUUGAAUUCAUCUAACUAAAUAUUGACAGUGAAUGAGAGGAUUCAUGAAGGUAAUUUUAUUUGAUUUCUUAACAUUUUGUAGGUAUAUGUAUGACACCGAAGACUAAAUGAUUUAAACCCUCUAAUUUCUUUUGCAAUAUGGAGAAGGAUUAUCUCUGUAUAGUAACAUUACAUGGAAUUGUAACUCAGUCUCUCGCAUAAGCAACUGUAGGAAGAAAGAAAAGGCAACACGAAAUUAAGUAAUAACCAUCAAAGCUUCUAUAUUAGUAUUAAUUAAUUGAUCUAUGGAACUUAUGGACGGCGAACUCCGACUAAUCUCACAUCAUCAACCACAGGACCACACAAGGAGCCCGAGUGAUCGCUCUUCAUGUGGUAGUAUGUGCUCAAGAACCUGAUCCUGGUGCGCUCAGAAACUGCUUUGAACUGAAGCUUGGCCCG
rnacentral:lncRNA from 1 species